GGACUACUUCCUUGAUUACAGGAACCUAAGUGACAGGGGACACUUCCAGCGGAAAGAAAGACUGGUGAAAAUUGCACCUUCCCUUGUGUGAUCAACUCUGCGAAGCUAAGGAAGCAGUCUGCUGAGAAAACACUUUGUCCCAGUGCACUGCUGCACAGUUAUUUGGAAUAUUGGCCAAGAUUCCCAUUUAGGCCAGAUAAGAUGAUAUAUCCGACAGUGAUUUUAGAGUUGCCAGUGCACAACAACUAGUCAGUCAAGAGAGACUGAAGCACUCCACUUCAAGUACGGAGGUAAGAUUUCAAAUUAAAAUGUCAAACUUUGAUGUUUCACCCCAUUUAGAAGUUUGGUGAAAAUCAUUUCAGUUCUACGGAAUUUAUUAUUUUUGAAUGGUAUCCCAACUUUGACCCAACUGGUGCUGAAGGCAAUUCAGAGUCAAACAGAGUUAAAAUGCUAUGUGAAAUAAAAUACUGAUUGUGCUACCUGAUCUCUAUAGGGAAAUGAGUUGAAAUACCACAUCCUCUCUGAGAUUGGAACCCUGAGAAGGUUGCAGACGGGGUGGGGCUUUCCUUACCUGACAUUAUCAGACUCCCUCCCCAAGUUAGCUGCUGUGAGUUCUGUAUACUUCAGAGGUCUCUUAUCUUCUAAAAAGAGAUACAUUUCCCACAACACUACAGACUCUACACUAAGCCCUACGCCAUUUGUCUAGAAAGCCUUCUACCAUCACAAAUCGAUGAUGGGGUCAAGUUAAGAAAUAGGAUAUAGAUUCUAUUCAAAUAGCUGCGUUUCCGAUACCACAUUAUGUGGUAUCAAGAUCAGACAGAGGCAACUGAAGUCCCAAUUAAUUCUCUUUAAAAUAAAAUAAGAGAAGCAAAGAAUUCCACUGUUAAAAACUACAACAUUAUUCCCAGCCCAAAUAAAUAAAUAAAUUCACGUGCAGAGCUCUUGCAUGGGUGUGUUUCACAAUUUACUUCAGUGAAAGGGAAACAUUUUCAGAUGUGCAAUGAUACAUGCAUGAAGAGCUUCCCCCUGAACUGAAGUGGCAUACUCAAUCCAAAACGGCUGGAUUGAGGUGUAUUCUCUUGUAAUCCUAAAUUAAACGUUUUCAGAUUCCAAAAACCCAGUUCCAAAGAAGGCAGAAAAAUACCCAUUUAUAGUUAUUUUGAGCACAAGACUGUGGGCGGCAAGGGUAUUGCUACUAAGGUGUCACAGAAUGUUAACCAAAAUACAGAACUGUUCAAGGAAUGACUCCAAGAGCAUGGUCUAGUCUCUGCAAACAGGGAGAUCAAUUUAGCUGGGGAAAACCCUCAGAGUCCUGCAGACAGAGAAAGGAAGAGCAAGGGGUGGGAAGCUGAGGUCUGGAAAUCUGAGUGGGAAGAGUCCCUGAGGGUCAGAAGCCUGAAAAUGUGCUGGCUGACAUACAGAGCAAGGAUGCACCGGUGAAGUGAGAGCAACUUCCCAAGAAACUGCACCAGUGCAUCAGGAAAGCAACAAUUUUUAAUGCCCUCUCCUUCAGGAAAUCCUCUGUGCCACCAGAAAAUAUGUCUCCGAGGAACACACAGAAUUCAGUGACUUGUUUUUGGGUGGCACAUAGAGCUUCCCGAGGAAGGACUGCAAAACUGCUGUUCCUUGCUGUACCGGUGCAGCUACUCUUCCUAACUGGGUGGAGGAAGGUUCUAUUCAUGACACACAAGCUUUUUAUUUCUGAACUUCAACCUGACAACUAAGAUCUUUCAGCCUCCUGCCUAACAUCAAGCAUGAUGAAAAGGUACCUUGUUUAUAUAUUUUGACAAUUACAUCAGUAGCAACUCAUCCUACGAACCAGGGGGGCACCAAAGGAAGCAGCUUGAGUUGCUCCUCUCUCCCACCCAAGAGCCAUGCUCCUUGCAGACCGGCCAGCCUGCUGGUGCGGCUCUCAGGUGGGGUGGGAGAGAGCAGACGAACCCAAGCCAACAUGAAGCAGAGGCAGCUGUGCAUUCUUUGGCACCCUCCAGUUCUUUAGGAUGAGCCACUACUGAAUUACAUAUUCCUCACCGAGAAGGAUGGGAGGGGUGAAGAGAGAAACAAAUGAUGGACAACUAGCUGGCUGGCAGGGUGGCUGCAGGAAACAGGAUAUAGCGGAAUGAAAAGCAGGGAUCUGAGGGAACAGAGGUGAUAAAGGCAUGGAGUCAGGGGCGGAGCCACUAUUGCACAAAGGGAUUCAAAGAACCCGAGCUGCUGCGCUUAGCGGCCCCACCUCAUGCCCCAGCCACAUCCCCUGCGUCUGGCAUUGUUUUCCUGUGUGGCUUCGUUUUUCAGAAGCUUAGCCAGCACUGGCUUCCCAGCCUGGCCGGGAACAUGUCUCCUUGCCUUUUAAAACAGGGAGAGCUGCUCCCAGCCACAAUGAGAACAUACGGCCCCAUUUGCGAGUGAAACCACACCCCCUGAAUCUGACGCCAGAUGCUGUGCCUCACCGAGGCUUAUAUCAGACACAGGGAGCGUGGCUAGGGGUGCCGCUGGCAGUGGGCUGAACUGGGGCUGCUGCUGGCCUCCCUACACCAUUGCAUGGAGUUGAAGAAAAAGAAGAGCUGAGGGGAGUGUGGAUAAAGCCAAAAUGCACAGGGUUAAGGGUCAGCGAGAGAGACAGCAGAGGAGCUUUAGAGCUUCAGGAAACCAAAAGGGCAAUGGGUCUGCAUUGCAUAAAACACAAAACCAGAAAUGCAAGUCUAUAUAUGCUCCCCCUGCUAACUGGAUAAAGAGGCACCUUUCAAAGUGGUGAUUCUCUUGCUUUCAGGGGGAAAGCAAUUAUCUUUAUUUAAUCUCAGCACAGCAUGCUUUCAGUGGUAAUUCCGGUUUCUACCUUGUAUUUCAUUUUAGACUGUGUGCCCUUUGAGGAGGCAGAACUGGCUUCGUGUUAUUCUUUUUCUAUGUAAACUACUUCGAGAAUUUUCCUGGCGAAAAGCAAAAUAAUAGAUAUCAAGUCUGAAACUAGCACAAUCCACUUAUUCCUUUUAAAGAGGGAAGGAAAGAACCAGCAUUCAGUCGUUGCAAUCCCUCCAGAACUGUUUUAAGCGUGGUGGGGAGCGGGGUGGAAAUUGGAAGACAGAAGUAGAGAUGUUGCCCAACAAGGAAAGCAAAUUUAGAAGACUGUACUAAUUGUGUUAUUUUGCAAUGAAGCCUCCCCAAACUGGCUAUUAGCUAGUUUUAGUAGCAUUCAUACUCCUAUUCAGAGCAAUGUUCCAGAAUACUUAGCUGAUCUGUCAAGUGCUUGCAUUACUGAAGCUUAGCGUGGCUUCGGUUAGCAACACCCACAUUUUGAAGAAAGUGUUCUAUCAUCAUGGUUAACCUAAUUUCUUCUCUAGUUGGGUCAAAGGGCAUAUUUUUCUUCAAGCUGCUGUAAAGCUGUUCUAGAACAUUAAGCUACCAAAGCUAUUAUUUAAAGCUAGCUGGGCUAGUCGCAGAGAAGCUGCGCCUCCGGCCAGCCCACCCACCUGCCACCGCCUUCUUCCCUUGCCGCCUUUCUUUCUCUCCCCCCGCCCACCCAGCCACCUGCACCACUUUCUGGCUGGCUGGCCAGCUUCUUCUCCCGCCUGCCCCUUUCUGGCUGGCCAGCCGCUGGCUUCUUCUUGGUGGCCCGCCCACACAGCUUGCUGGCUGGCCGGCUUCUUCUACCACCCGCGCACCGCUUUCUGGCUGGCCAUCAGCCGCCGUUUUCUUCGACUAGCUGGCUGCCGCCGCCACCAUUUUCUCCCCCACCCCACCCAUCCCGUGGCUAUCUGGCAGUUCUCCGAACUCUUACGAGAGCAGCCACACAUGGGAUUAGCCACGGGUAUGCAUUAGCGAAUUAUAUAUAAAGAUGUUAACCAUAUGAGGACACAGAUUAUAGUGGCAUUUCUUUAAAUCAAUACUUAAGUGGAAUUACCUCCAGUGACUUGUCUUUAUGUAGUAUCUUCAAAACAACAUCCAAUAUAUUGAGCUUGUUCAUUACCACAGCAUCAAAGAGAGCAUUCAAACCCUAAAGAGACGAGUGUAAAUAUAAAUAGAGAAAGAAUGAAAAGGGGCAAGGAUGAGAGAGGGCCAUAUUUCUCUCUUUAAAAAAAUAAAAUAUAUAUUCUACAUUGUGCAUUUCAAUCUGCGAAAGCAAGGAGGCAGAGUUCUAUUAUUCCUUACACAACUCUGUCCAAAUGACUUCACUAUAACUGCUGUGUUAGUAACUGUACACAGGAUUGUGGCUUAGGUUUGCAUGUCCCAUGCUGGGGCAGUGAGUAGCUGAAUCACUGCAGGGAGGCAAGUCUACAGCUGUUACAGAACACACACAAAAACCUGUGGCCGACAUUCUAAGAGCAUGCACGUGCUUCUAGCAAAAGCACAUGCUCACCCCAUCUCGAAAGCUUCUGGAGAAAGGGGAGAGCAGAGCAAAUAGUUGUGCUCUUGCACAACCAUGCCUGCACUUUGGAAAUUGGGAGGCUGGAAUCAACAGAUUGGCUGGAUACUUACUUUUUAGGACAGACAUGUUAUAUAAUAAUGAUUGGUCUUUAUCCACUCCCUGACCACAUAAGGCUAGUAACUGAUCCCUAAACAAGAGGGUGGUGCCCAAGCUGCUGCUUCCGUAUUGAGCUGCAAAGGCUCUGCCAUCCUGAGCAAAACGGAUAGGCCGGAGACAACUUGCUAUCAAAUGCAGAAAAUACAAAUGGUAUAAAUAAUAAUAUGAACAACUGACAGUUUGAUUCCCUUUAUGGGAUUAACAAAUUCUGUUGCCCAAGGUAAGCUACAUCACCUUGCCUAAAAACAGGGCCAGUUCUGGCUAAAGAACACAGCAUUCCUUAGAGCAGAAGUUUCCUUCCCUAUGAACUCUCCUAUGUGUUGACCAGCUUACACUCCUCUCUGUCCUCUAAGAGACAGAAGAAAAGCUUGGAAGGGGGAGGGACUCUUAAUGGAGCAAUGCCUUUGAGUUGGCAACAGUGGAUGAAGCAAGGCCAAGGAGUUUGGUACACCAAAUGGCUGGGUAGACUCUUUCUUUGUUGCAAGGAGUGUGUGUUGAGGACUCUUGCCGAAUAACACCAACUUCCUAAUCCUCACAGCCCUCAGGGACACAUUUUUGGCCAUCACAGUGGGCUUCGGCGGGUGGGGUGGGGGAGGGAAGAGUGAUGAAAAUCACCUCUCCCUUGUACUACCAGAGCAGUGUUAGCAACACCAGCACUUUGUUAGUCGGAUGUCAGCCAGAAUCUUUAUACUAACAGAAAUAAUUGGCAAUACCAAGGAAAUGCACAGGAAAAAGAGUCUUUGUAAUUUAAUCUCUUUUUUUGUUUAAAUGAUUUGCUGUGCCUUCCUGUGACAUGGGAGAAGGAAGUAUAAUACAUGUUGCGGCAAACACUAUAAAAUGACAGCAUGGAAGACUGAAGUUUUGAACUUGUACAACACCAUGUAAUUCCUGCUACAGCUGAUCUCAAAAUGGCUGCAUUUUUUAAAAUGCACAGGCCUACUAGAAGCAAAGAAAGAGGACAAAGAAGGAGGACACACAAGCUUGUCAGGAAUUGUUUUGUUUAAUAUAAGAGUUUGUCACCAUUUUCUAAGAGAAGACUACGUGAUGAGCACAGCCAAAGGAAAGACAUAUUUUGCCAUCUGAAGAGGUUUUAGUCAACGUUGAAUUAGUGUUCAGCAAAAUAAGAAACGGUCACGCUUUAACAGGUAUAAGAAAUCUUACCAGUAUCGUAAUUCCUUGUUCUUUGCACAGCAUGGCCAGAGCACCCAGGAAAACACUCAGCAAGACCCAGGCUGUAGAAAACUGUGUUCCUUCUUUAUCUGUCAGUUUAAAAGCAGGACAUAAAGGAAAUAAACCAAUGUCUCAUACCAGUUUUCUGAACUAACUUGAGACCAAUAUGAAGAAGAUUUAUCAUCCUAAUUUCUGUCUUUGCCAAUUAUUUUUGGAAUGUUUAGGGUGGAGAAAAAGUGGUCUGUUAUUUCUUUGUUGAAAUCUUGCAACUGGACAGAUUCACGUAGACAUUUUCAUUCUGUUAAUAAAUUACUGUCUAAUAUUAAUACACAAAAAAUUCCAUUAGAAAACUGAACAGUUCUGCAGCAGCGAGAACACAAUACCGACUUUUUAUAAAAUAAGGAUAUUUUGCUCAUUGCUUUCAUGAUCUACCAGAUAUUUCAAAGAGAUCUUUAUACACUAAAGCACGGCAAGUAAAACAAGCUGUUUGCCCAGUACCUAAUAGGGAUUUUCUAAAGCCUAUUCAUGCCACAUACUUUCCCUCCUUCACAUUAUAGUUUUAGAAAAAGGUUCUGUUUCAUUUGCUGUCUCAAAGCCCAAAUACCAUACAUUCUAUGCUCAGGUUUGGAUACCCAAGUACAACACACAUGGUUCUUUCAGCAAUUAUGAGGAGAAUAUUUAUGUAGAAUUCAACACUCUGACAAGACUAGGUGGGACGCUGGAGAUCUGUGAUAGGAUAUCCCAUCUCUUAAAAGCAGCCAUAAGGACCCUGAAUUGAGUCAAAAUUGUGGUACAGAAGGAACAGUUUUAAAUAUCUUUCCCAUCACAACCUGUUUCUCCUAAUAGGGCAAAUAUCAGUGGGGUUGAGAAUUACUGCAGGCGGAAACAAGAGGGAAAUGGGUUAACCCCUCCUGUGCCCUGCACUGUAGUCCCGAUCCAGUAUGCUGUCCCCUAGCUCUUGAUUUUUAUUUUUAUUUUUUAAGAUGGGACAUCUGAUAAUGGAACUCCAACAAUCUGUCACUCAGAAAUACCAAUCCUUUCCCAAUUGUGAGGCUCAUGUAUUUGUAGUCAAGUAUCAUGUAUAUGUAGUCAAGUAUCUGAUAAUGGAACUCCAACAAUCUGUCACUCAGAAGUACCAAUCCUUUCCCAAUUGUGAUGCUCAUGUAUUUGUAGUCAAGUAUCAUGCUAGCAUAAAAACAUACAGGAAGAAUCAUCCAAGGAAAGGAUUGGGGAUCUACAUGGAAAUAAUCUGUACUGCUAUUGCUUCCUUAAAACACUAACUUCAGGCUAUGUUAAUACUGUUAUCGUGCAUAAAAUCACAAAGCCUUUCUUUUUGUCAGUGCUAAAACCACCUCAAGAUUCUCACCAUCUAUGUCAAUGGCUGUAAUUGAUAUAGGAAGAAGAAGACACAAGAUGACCCUGAAUCAUGCAGAGAACUGUAUUCAAUGAUAGUGGUGGCAGAGUAAAGCAGGAAUUGAGCAGGGAACUGCCAGAUAACAUCUACAGGGAUAUCAUCUGGUAGAUAUAGUGCCUCAAUUAGAAUCCCUUCAGUUCAUCCUAAAUAGUAGCUCCUUGAGAGAGUAGAUCACAAAAAGGAACCACAUUUCUCCUUCAAAACUAGCGUUCCUGUUUUUAGCAGCUCCUCCUGCAAUAUAAACCAGCGUUUAAUGGGCACACCAAGGGAACUUUAUUUGUUUACGGCCAGCUCUUGAGAGAACAAGAGCAUUUUUGUUUUGCAUUUUUAAAAAAUGCUUUGUGUGCGCACAUUCUUCAGUAUUGCCUCCAGUGCCGGCAUCAUUCAAACCAGGCACCAUGAAAACUGAAUAUAUGUUACAGCACCAUCAAAUAAUCAAUUUAGUUUUUGAAUUUCAAUCAAUUAGCUUCAAAAAUGUAAAUCAACAAGUAAGUGCCAAUUAUUACUACAAAGAUACAUGUACGCCAAAUAUGUUAAUCACUUUAACGAAGCACACUCUCAGCAACUAUGCUGCUUCCCACCACGAUCUCCUGUCAGAGAAUGGAACUCAUUUUUGGUUGGCACCUCAAUCUAGUUUAAACUGGGACACCAUAUUGUGGAAAGGCAGUCUGCCACCCUCACCAGAUGGUCAAAAGUUUAAUGUAUGCCAAAGAUUUUCAGCAAGCAUUUUAUUCCUGUUCCAAAAGCUAUAUGCCCACAAGUGUUUGUCAUUUUAUAUAAAAUAAUCUAGUUUACAGAAUGAGAUUAAAUUUGCAGUGUGAGCCUAUGCAACUCAUAUAUUUAUUUUAUGGUCCAUAGAAAUCAUUGUAGAAGAGAAAUGUGGGUUGCAGGCUUGGCUGAACAUCCAUUCCUAAAAACCUCUUCCUAUCUGGGAUCAAUUUAAUCCAGGUUCCUCUAAAAAUUAACAGGCUGUUUUGAUUUUAAAAGAGAAUACAUGUAAGAGGAGAGAAGUCUCUUGAUUUUUAUCCAGAAUCUGGUGGAAAUUUUAAAUGUUGUUGAUCCACUAGAAAACAGCGACCACAGCACUAUCAGUUUUGAGAAAUAUGAAGUAGAGAAUAAAAGCAGCAAAUGCCCAGAAAUCCUACAGAGGCUCUAGAGUCCCUUCAAGAGGUUCAGAGGACAUUUGAAAUAUAAAGAAGUCCACAUAGAAUGAAUACUAGUAGAGAUUAAAUGAGUCCAAAAGGGUGCUAGGAUAGUUAGGGUUAAAUGUUUAAAGAACUAAAGAUGUAAUCCUAUGUAACAGUGUAACUGAAUGCAUGUUUACUCAGAAAUAAGUUGCGCUGUAUUCAUUGGGAUUUACUCCCUAGUAAGUGCAUUUAGGGUUGCAAUCUAAAGUAUAAAAAGUGAACUGCCUUAUUUUUUUUAGCUGCCAGGCAAAGUCCAUGCGGAUAACUCAUUAAUUACUUUAAUAGUAAUUAGGAUCCUUCUAUUCCAUGUUACAAGCAAACCUUACUAUUCGUGGUUCUGCGUUCUGGUAACUGACACCUGACCUCAGCAUUUCUGGGUGGGUGUUUUGUUUUGUUUUAAUGGUUAAUUUCACGUUUUUCCAGCCACCAUUUUUAGAAAAGGAGCCAUUUUGUGGCUCAUUUUUAAAGGGGAAAUACCCACAUUUUCCCCAUGAUUUUUUGCAGAAAAAUUGGGGACUUGGGAGGUGGGCAUUCCUGGACAGCUGGAGACCCAUGGACCAUGGCAGGGCACUUUCCCCUCUUUUUGGGAGGACGUUUUCACCAAUUUUUGCCAUUUUCCCAGCCUCCAGAAACCUAACCCCAUUCCCAUUCCCUUAAUGCCAUUAUCCUUGAUUCCAUAAUCUGUACUUCUAGCAGAGAGCAGAACCCCCGUGGAUAAUGGGGUUCACCUGCAUUUUUGUUUAAUUGUAGCUGUCAUUUUAUUAUUGUAAUUAUUUUAUCUUUUCAUCAUUCCUACUUUUACUGUAUUGCUGUAUUAUUUGUUUCUUUAUAUUUCUGUACCUCCAAGAACAAGUAUUUUAUGGGUUACAAAAAUAAUAAAAACAAUAAAGUCACAGUUAAAACCAA